AGAGCUGCUGCCUGGUCAAGGGCUGAUUGAUCCUUCACAGGCUCCGGAGCUGGUCCCCUCAUCCGUACCACAGGCUGCUGCGUGUUUUCUUGUCUCUGAUUGUAAACAAAUUUGACUAAAGAGCCCUCAGGGUUCAAGGCAAGGCCCCAGACCGAGGCCCCAGGCAGAGUACUCCAUGAAACCUGGUAACUGGGGCCAGGGCGUUCUGAUUUCAGGAUGCUGCAGCCAUCUUGGGAGUGCCCAAACUGUCAACCUGGUGUGCAGCCUGGCUG
rnacentral:lncRNA from 1 species